UUCAGACAAAUUAAAAAAUCUUUGUUUUCUGUUUCAGUCUGGAUUUGGGGUGAAAUACCUGUACCAUCACUUCUACCUGAAACCUACCAGGUGUGCCAAAGGAACAACUGAGUCAAAUUCUCAGACAUGUCCCUUCAGGAACGACAGACCACUGAUGGACUGUGCAGUUUGUUAUAAAACAGCAGCAGACCAGAUAGAGUCCAAUCCCAAACCAUACGUUCACUGCAUCCAGAAACCAAGACUCACUGAGCAAAUGAGGACCUCCAGAACUGAUCACUGCUCAAAAAUGAGUUACAACAGUGGUGCUCCAACUAUUCUGGCAGGGUCUAUCGCUUAAAGACGUGCAUUGGGCCAGUGUGCAUGCCUUUACCUCAUGCUCAAACUUGUCCAAGGAGGAGCAUGGCCAACAGAUGCCCUUCGCAUGCUGUUGUUUUGUAUUGAAAAAAUUUUACGUAUCAUUACUAGCAGAUGCAGGAACUCUGUUCCUGCAUCUGAACUGCUUCACUUAAUAGAUAAACAAGAGAAAAUGGCACAUGUGCAUGUAUCUGUCAACAAUGAAGCCUUCAGUUAAAUCACCUUUAAGAGUCGGUCUUCUAUGAUGUGGUUUUGUUUUUGGUAAAUGUGAGACUAUGUACUAAAUAAAAAGACAAACGAGAAGACCCAGAUUUGAUUUAUUGUGGUGGUGUAUGUGAAACAAUGAAUACAAUUAUAGUUUGUUAAAGGGAUGGAAUGAGAAAGACUACAAAGUAAUAAAUGAAAUCAUCUGCAGCAA